rnacentral:lncRNA from 1 species
UCAUUCUUUUCUCAGCAUAUCUGUAACACUAUUAACACUCCCUAUUAAUAAUAAUCUUCAAUUUCUGAGAAACACUCAGAAGGGAAAUCCUUCCUUAAUGCGCACAAAUCUGUGGGAGACCACAGUGUCAGCACCUCCAUGUGCUCUGGUUACGGAUGUCCCCUAAGUCAAUUCCAGGCCACGGUAAAAUGACUGACAACAGGUGAAUUUUAAAGAAAAAGGGAAAGAAAGACAAAGAAAAAGGAAAGAAUGAAAGCAAAAGAAAAAUGUGCAGGUUGACAGAGAAAAGAAAAUUGAGCCAACAACCUGACAAGUUCCUCCUUGUUCCUCCCUUAUUCCCUCUCCUCCCCCUUUCCUGUUUGUGCCCCUCCUUCCUUACAGGGCAAAUGGUCCUGAUGAAACCAGUCUUUUCUUUUUUCUUUUUUUGGUACCGGGGAUUGAACUUGGGUCCUUGAGCUUUCGAGGCAGGCGGUGGAACCACUGAGCUAAAUCCCCGGCCCCAGCCUUUUCUUUUUCACCAGUAGCAACUGACUACCACUGCUCACUACACACACAAGCACACAUGCACGCAGACACACCUGCUUGUCAAUGCACACUGCAAACAUACACCCCAGCUACACACUCAUGAACACACACAAUACCCUCCCAUACACAUAGCCACAUGUGUGUACAUUUACACACACAUAUAUUCAGACACACACACACACACACACACACACACUAUAAAAAAAAGACUGAAAAAUUAAACUCAGAGAUGGGAACUACCGAGGAGGGUGGCAUGUAGGGAAUGGGAAAGGAGAUGUCCCUGCCCAAUGGCGGUGUUGCGGGUGGAUUUCGAGGCUCAAGGGCCUCAGAUGCUCAGUUUGCUUCAUCUUAGCCUCAUUUCACCCCUCCUUGCAUCACCGUCCUGCCUCCUCGGUCAUGGCUUCAGUAUUUAUUUCCCCACAUCUCUGAUCUUUUCUGUAAAUUGAGGUCUUCAGCAGAAUUCCAUGUGAAAAAAUGCCAACAGCGGCGUUCUAAUUUUUAAAAACUUCUCUGAUUAACACACUUCUCUUUUGUGGCUGAACCGGUCAUCAUAGGAAGAUCGUUUACUGGUGUUUUGCUUUCAACAGCUCUUCUGCUUCUGCAAGCAGGACUGUAACUGGAGAACCACUGGGAGGGUGUGGGCUUCCCGGCCACAGGGCGCCCUCUCUCCGGGCUCGGCUGAGGUCCGUGUGUGGCGGGGAAG